rnacentral:sRNA from 1 species
AGAUGUGAGGGCAAUCUGACUGUCACCCAUGGAUCGCCAGGGUUGGUUCAGCUGGGCCGGCUGGCUAGGUGGGUGUCCCCUUCUCCUGUCACCACACCAUGUGUGUCCCUCCCAAAGCUGUGCUCAGUCAAAGAGGACGGCCAUCCCCGAUAGAGGAGUAGCUGUGAUCCCCUGACAGGACCUCCAAACAAGCUCCCAAGAAAUGUGGCACAUCCACCCAGU